CUCCGUCACUGUGAAAUGACCCAGUUUUAACAGACUCGUUCUUCAAAACAAAUGUUUUAUGUUCCAGCUCUAAAGAAAACUUUACUGACUAUCCUGACGCACCCAUUCGUGUGUCACUGUAGGUUUGGGUGGCUGCAAUUAUUCCUGGUACCCACACCGGAUCUGAAGCUUUUCCCACUGGAGUCCAGUUGGAGGAAAUGGGGAACAAAAUGCACAGCUCUAGUUCAGAACACGCAUGAACUCCAAAGUAAUAUUGAGCAGGAAAUCAGGCCAGAGCCUUUAAGGUUACAAAAUGUCUCCGUCUUUGUACAGGAACUGGAUCCUGGCUGGGUUGUUGUUAGUGAUCGGAGCAGUCGGGGGUCGUUUGAGUAAAGUGGCAUCAAACUACCUACAGAACAGAACACGUGUGUCAGCUGCAGACUAGUGAUGGGUCGUUCGUGAACGAAAUGGCUCUUAGAGCCGGGUCUUUGACGUGAACGACGCGAGCCGGCUCCUUAUCGCGAGCCGUGGUUUUUUUUUGUUUUUCUUUCUCUCAGCCUCUCUCUCGCACUUUUUUCCGCUUCACUCCGCACGCCAGCCUUGUGCUUUACGCUGGGCAGAGGGGGGAGGGGCGGUAGUUACACUCAGUAGCACAGGAACAGAGCGGGAGGGAGAGAGAGAGAGGCAGGGACAACAACGUCACAUUAGAAAGGUAUAGUAAUCAUCCACAACUAUUUUCAGUUGCAGAUGAUAAAGGAUUCAGAAAGUUUAUUCAUGCAGGUCCAUAUGACAGAGAAUAUGCAUGUUCUUUUUGUUUUCAUAUUAUAAGUUAUAUUUAAUUGUGUUGUGGUUUGCAGCGUUUUGUGUUGUUUCACUUUAAAUUUGUAAAAGGAAAAAGCUGAAAACUUAAAUAGUUAAAAGUUGAAAUGUGAAUAGUUGAUUUUUGUAUUAUGUGAUUUAUUUAUUACAUUUUAUGUGGAGUGAAUAAAUAAAAGUAUAUUUACGGUGGCCCCUAGAGACAAAGCACAUACAAACU
ensembl:lncRNA